AUGGUGGUCGCAGGGGAUGUCUGGGCAGAUUCUAUUCAACCAAAGGAUUACCAUGUAUUUGCUGAAGAAGGAACAGAAGUAUAUUUAUACUGCAAUUAUUCAACUACGUAUACAACUGCAUAUUACCUUCACUGGUACCGGCAGUAUGACUACGGUGGCCCACAGUUCAUUUUGCAUAAAGCCAAUAAAGGCUCUUCCAGUAAAGCUGCAGUGGACAGAUUUGAAUCUGAAGUGAAUUCAAGCUCGACAGUUCUUAUCAUAACUGACUUAAAACUGGAAGAUACAGCUACUUAUCACUGUGCGCUUGCUGAGGCCACAGUGAGAUAA